rnacentral:rRNA from 1 species
UACGUAGGGUGCAAGCGUUAAUCGGAAUUACUGGGCGUAAAGCGUGCGCAGGCGGUUUUGUAAGUCUGUCGUGAAAGCCCCGGGCUCAACCUGGGAAUUGCGAUGGAGACUGCAAGGCUUGAAUCUGGCAGAGGGGGGUAGAAUUCCACGUGUAGCAGUGAAAUGCGUAGAGAUGUGGAGGAAUACCGAUGGCGAAGGCAGCCCCCUGGGCCAAUACUGACGCUCAUGCACGAAAGCGUGGGGAGCAAACAGG